rnacentral:rRNA from 1 species
AGUGAACGCUGGCGGUAGGCCUAACACAUGCAAGUCGAACGGCAGCACAGUAAGAGCUUGCUCUUACGGGUGGCGAGUGGCGGACGGGUGAGGAAUACAUCGGAAUCUACUUUUUCGUGGGGGAUAACGUAGGGAAACUUACGCUAAUACCGCAUACGACCUACGGGUGAAGCAGGGGAUCUUCGGCCCUUGCGCGAUUGAAUGAGCCGAUGUCGGAUUAGCUAGUUGGCGGGGUAAAGGCCCACCAAGGCGACGAUCCGUAGCUGGUCUGAGAGGAUGAUCAGCCACACUGGAACUGAGACACGGUCCAGACUCCUACGGGAGGCAGCAGUGGGGAAUAUUGGACAAUGGGCGCAAGCCUGAUCCAGCCAUACCGCGUGGGUGAAGAAGGCCUUCGGGUUGUAAAGCCCUUUUGUUGGGAAAGAAAAGCAGCAGGUUAAUACCCCGCUGUUCUGACGGUACCCAAAGAAUAAGCACCGGCUAACUUCGUG